rnacentral:SRP_RNA from 2 species
GCCUGGCAUGAUGGCACAUGCCUGUAAUCCUAGCUACUCGGGAGGCUGAGACAGGAGAAUCGCUUGAGCCCAGGAGGUCAAGGCUGCAGUGAGCUGUGAUAGCACCACUGCACUCCAGCAUGGACAACAGAGCGAGACCCUAUCUCUA